AACAAACGCUGGCGGCGUGCCUAAUACAUGCAAGUCGAACGGUGAAAGCUUUCGGGUGAGUACUAGUGGCGCACGGGUGAGUAACGCGUGGAUACUCUGCCUUAGCGUGGGGGAUAACUAGUCGAAAGAUUAGCUAAUACCGCAUAAGACCACAAGAACUGCGGUUCAAGAGGUCAAAGGUUUUUCGCUCUAAGAUGAGUCCGCGUAAGAUUAGCUAGUUGGUGAGGUAACGGCUACCCAAGGCAACGAUCUUUAACUGGUCUGAGAGGAUGAUCAGUCAAACUGGAACUGAGACACGGUCCAGAGUCCUACGGGAGGCAGCAGGAGGGAAUAUUGCACAAGGGACGAGACUCUGAUGCAGCGACGCCGCGUGAGUGAUGAAGGCCUUCGGGUCGUAAAGCUCUGUCGCAGGGGAAUAACACAAUGAAUGUACCCUGUAAGAAAGGAUCGGCUAACUUCGUGCCAGCAGCCGCGGUAACAC
rnacentral:rRNA from 1 species